AUUGAACGCUGGCGGCAUGCCUUACACAUGCAAGUCGAACGGUAACAGGUUAAGCUGACGAGUGGCGAACGGGUGAGUAAUAUAUCGGAACGUGCCCAGUCGUGGGGGAUAACGCAGCGAAAGCUGUGCUAAUACCGCAUACGAUCUAUGGAUGAAAGCGGGGGAUCGCAAGACCUCGCGCGAUUGGAGCGGCCGAUAUCAGAUUAGCUAGUUGGUGGGGUAAAGGCCCACCAAGGCGACGAUCUGUAGCUGGUCUGAGAGGACGACCAGCCACACUGGAACGGAGACACGGUCCAGACUCCUACGGGAGGCAGCAGUGGGGAAUUUUGGACAAUGGGCGCAAGCCUGAUCCAGCAAUGCCGCGUGCAGGACGAAGGCCUUCGGGUUGUAAACUGCUUUUGUACGGAACGAAACGGUUCUCUCUAAUACAGGGGGCUAAUGACGGUACCGUAAGAAUAAGCACCGGCUAACUACGUGCCAGCCGCCGCAGUAA
rnacentral:rRNA from 1 species